CGCGUAGGUGGUUGUGUAAGUCAGGUGUGAAAUCCCCCGGCUCAACCGGGGAACUGCACUUGAUACUGCAUGACUCGAGUACAGGAGAGGGAAACGGAAUUCCCGGUGUAGAGGUGAAAUUCGUAGAUAUCGGGAGGAACACCGGUGGCGAAGGCGGUUUCCUGGCCUGAUACUGACGCUGAGGCGCGAAAGCGUGGGUAGCAAACAGGAUUAGAUACCCUGGUAGUCCACGCCGUAAACGGUGAGUACUGGGUGUGGGAGGUGUAAUGCCUUCUGUGCCGAAGCUAACGCGUUAAGUACUCCGCCUGGGGAGUACGGCCGCAAGGUUGAA
rnacentral:rRNA from 1 species